GACGAACGCUGGCGGCGUGCCUAAUACAUGCAAGUAGAACGCAGUUGCGAACGGGUGAGUAACGCGUAGGUAACUGCCUCAUAGCGGGGGAUAACUAUUGGAAACGCUAGCUAAUACCGCAUACUGUGAGAUGGACCUGCGUUGUAUUAGCUAGUUGGUGAGGUAAAGGAUCACCAAGGCGACGAUACAUAGCCGACCUGAGAGGUUGAUCGGCCACACUGGGACUGAGACACGGCCCAGACUCCUACGGGAGGCAGCAGUGGGGAAUUUUGGACAAUGGGGGCAAGCCUGAUCCAGCCAUGUCGCGUGUAUGAAGAAGGCCUUCGGGUUGUAAAGUACUUUUGUUAGGGAAGCGGUACCUAAAGAAUAAGCACCGGCUAACUACGUGCCAGCAGCCGCGGUAAUUC
rnacentral:rRNA from 1 species